rnacentral:rRNA from 1 species
GUGGGGAAUAUUGGGCAAUGGGCGAAAGCCUGACCCAGCAACGCCGCGUGAAGGAAGAAGGCUUUCGGGUUGUAAACUUCUUUUGUCAGGGACGAAAAAAAUGACGGUACCUGACGAAUAAGCCACGGCUAACUACGUGCCAGCAGCCGCGGUAAUACGUAGGUGGCAAGCGUUAUCCGGAUUUAUUGGGUGUAAAGGGCGUGUAGGCGGGACAGCAAGUCAGAUGUGAAAACCAGAGGCUCAACCUCUGGCCUGCAUUUGAAACUGUUGUUCUUGAGUGUCGGAGAGGUAAUCGGAAUUCCGUGUGUAGCGGUGAAAUGCGUAGAUAUACGGAGGAACACCAGUGGCGAAGGCGGAUUACUGGACGAUAACUGACGCUGAGGCGCGAAAGCGUGGGGAGCAAACAGGAUUAGAAACCGGUAGUCC